rnacentral:rRNA from 1 species
AGAGUUUGAUCAUGGCUCAGAACGAACGCUGGCGGCGUGGAUAAGACAUGCAAGUCGGACGACUAUUCCGGGGUAGCAAUAUUUCGGAGUGGGAGUGGCGCAAGGGUGCGUAACACGUGGGUAAUCUGCCGUGAAGUUUGGGAUAACUUGCUGAAAGGCGAGCUAAUACCGGAUGUGACCGUUGGGAGGCAUCUUCUGAUGGUUAAAGUUGGGGACCGCAAGGCCUGACGCUUCACGAUGAACCCGCGGCCUAUCAGCUAGUUGGUGAGGUAACGGCUCACCAAGGCUAAGACGGGUAGCUGGUCUGAGAGGACGACCAGCCACACUGGAACUGAGACACGGUCCAGACACCUACGGGUGGCAGCAGUCGAGAAUUUUUCACAAUGGGCGCAAGCCUGAUGGAGCGACGCCGCGUGGGGGAUGAAGGCUUCGGCCCGUAAACCCCUGUCAUUUGCGAUCAAACCUUGCUAUUUAAAAGAUGGCGAGCUGAUAGUAGCGAAAGAGGAAGGGACGGCUAACUCUGUGCCAGCAGCCGCGGUAAUACAGAGGUCCCGAGCGUUGUUCGGAUUCACUGGGCGUAAAGGGUGCGUAGGUGGUGAGGUAAGUCGGAUGUGAAAUCUCGGAGCUUAACUCCGAAACGGCAUUGGAAACUACCUUGCUUGAGGGUUGGAGGGGGGACUGGAAUGCUUGGUGUAGCAGUGAAAUGCGUAGAUAUCAAGCGGAACCCGGUGGCGAAGGCGAUCCUGGACAACACCUGACACUGAGGCACGAAAGCUGGGGAGCAAACAGGAUUAGAUACCCUAGUAGUCC